AUGGGCUUGAGGUCAGCAAUCGCUCAGCUCUGAAACAAGGUAAACCACAGCAUAGAAACUGGAUUCUGAGGGACAUGCAGCCUGAUUCCAAAAUUCCCUCAGGACAGUUCUUCAGGGAGCCAGUAUCAAAGGAGGAGCAUUCAUUCUGAUGUGUCAUAUUGCACAAAUAUCUGGGACAUAUGAGGACAACACUAAUUCAUGACUAUGACAUGUAAAGUAUAAGGGAUCUUGCAGGAGGCCUGAAAAGGUCAUGGAAGUUCCCUGUUGCUGUCUCUCCCUGGAACCUCUACACUAGGAGGAAGCAGGAUAUCAGAUUAUACUCAGUGAUGCUAGAGAACUGGAUGACCUUUUGCAGAAGGGUAUUACAGCUUGGA